GUUUCCUACGGGGGGCAGCAGUGGGGAAUAUUGCACAACGGGGGAAACCCUGAUGCAGCGACGCCGCGUGAGCGAUGAAGUAUUUCGGUAUGUAAAGCUCUCUCAGCAGGGAAGAAAAUGACGGUGCCUGAGUAAGAAGCACCGGCUAAAUACGUGCCAGCAGCCGCGGUAAUACGUAUGGUGCAAGCGUUAUCCGGAUUUACUGGGUGUAAAGGGAGCGCAGGCGGCACGGCAAGCCUGAUGUGAAAGCCCGCGGCCCAACCGCGGGACUGCAUUGGGAACUACCGGGCUGGAGUGCCGGAGAG
rnacentral:rRNA from 1 species